ACCUCGGCUUCCCACAGCACUAGGAUUAUAGGCAUGACCCACUGUGCCUGGCCUCAAAUUACAGUUUGAUAUAACCAAGCCACAGUUCUGCAGAGUUUCAGAGAGGAAGGUACAUGCCAUUCUAGGAAUCAUAAAAUGUUUCUUGGGGCAAAAGUAUGUGCAGUGAACCUUGUGUAGUUGGAAUAAUCUCUUUAGCUGGGAAGGCAACAUAAGUAGAGUUGAGCUAGAAGUGAAGGUUUCAGCUUGUGUAUUAGAGGUAUGUAACAAGGGGAUGCUUUGGAAGGGCCUGCAACCUAAAGAGGUGUUUUAUGGGAGACAGGGCUGUGAGUGAGUGUGUGUGUGUGUGUGUGUGCGCGCACGCGCGCAUGUGCGCACGCACAAGUCAAGAUUUAUUAAAAAUU
rnacentral:lncRNA from 1 species